AGAGCGGGUGCGAGGCGGGCACAAAGGGUCUCUGUUUUCGGGGGCUAAGUGGCACUCAGUUGAUCAAUUACCAGAUCAAUUGACUUCUCAAAUUCUAAUAUAAAUAAGAAUCACUUGACUCUCUUGUUAAAAUGCGGAUUCUGAUCCAGAAGGUCUGGGGUGGAGACCUGAGAUCCUGCAUUUCUAAUAAGCUCCCAGGUGGCGAUGACGAAGCUCUUGGUCGGAGGAUCACGCUUUGAAUUGCACCUGUCCGAAAGUAAUGGCUGUAGCCCCAGCUCCACGUAAUUUGAAACUUGCACGACCUUUCUUGUCCUUCUUCCACUGAUGAGAAGCGUUCCUGUGGCUACAUGGGGUGUCCCGGUGAUGCUUACAGUUUGGGCACCAGCUGAGGGAAGGUGUGUUUAAUCCCCACAUUACCCACCCUUGGUCUAUGGAGCAGCAAUCAUGCCAACUUGGUGACUGGAGUGUGGAACCAGAAGUGGAGACGGAAUGGCCAUGGAAGAGAACACUGUGUCUACGUUAAUCCUAAAGGGUUGGGCGUGUGUGUCUGAGUGGCGCGGUGCCAGACACUUGGCCAGAGAAGUGGUAUAAGUGGUCCCUGCUUCUCAAAACGUAACAAUUUGUUGUAGAACUAUACAGGCUAGUUCAGAAAGAAGCAUGUGGAGAAAACAUCCGGGAAGCUAACAGUCACAGCACAAAUUCAGGCAUAAGCUAAAGAGGUUGUAAAAUAAUAUGCCUUGAGGGUCUUAAAAACUGUCCAAAUAUUCUUCUGUCAGUAAUUCCAGAGUCUAGAAGUUAGGACUCCCACUGGCCCUGUCAUUUCUCAAAUUUGACCUAAGGACUCAGUGUUUUCGGACUGGCCAGCUAGAACCUUUGUCGUUCAGCGUAGCCAAGCUCUUAUUACCCAGUAGUGUACCGCCGUGGUUCAAGAUUCUUAAGUGCUGAAUUCUCCAAAACCUUCAUCUCUCAUCUCUUGAAACCAGGUGGUAUAACCCUGCUUCAGCAUUUCUCUCUCACUAUCAAGGUGAUCAAACUGUCGCUUAGAGAAAACUUCACCUUUGUCAGUGUGUCCUGAACUUCUCUGGCUUCUCAUCCCCAGAAGUGAAGCCCACCUAGCAAUCUCAGACAUUGUUCAUCACAUUGUCCCUAUCAGAGAUGGCAUCGCACAAAAUUCAGAGUUUCUGGGAACAUGUUAAACCUGUCACAGCAAUGGUUCUGGCUACAGCAGGAGUAAAGAAAUGUCUAAGCAAGAAAAAUGUUUUGAAAGCCUCAAAAAAAGUUUGUUUGCUGUCAUUAAACCAGUGGUUCUCAAGCCUAGCUGGAUGAAAGAAGCAACAAGAAACAAAGACUCUUGCUUGAGGAUGUGAAUUUGAAAAAAAAAAUCCAGGCUGUCGUUCAUCCUCUGUUUUUCAGUCUACUUGCCUCAUACAUAUAACCUGGUUUUCCUGUCUUGGGAAAUGGAUAUAUUAGUAACUUGAUAUGAGUUAGCUCAAACCAGGUUUCCUACCCCUUAGUCCAGAAAUUGCCCAGCAAGAGAUUUAGGUAUAUUUGAAAAGAAAGAAAAAGAUAAGAUAUAAGCCAUCCACCAUUUUGCCAAGUCCCAGAAAUCCACCCAUUGUUGUAUUAUUAUUAGAACCCCCAUAGACUGCUUUAUAAUUGCUAAUUACCUUUUUAUCUCUCUGACAAUAAAUAGCUUCUCUAAACUUAAUUGAUUUCAUUCAUGAAGACCGAUAGAUUACCCAAGGUUCUAGUCUCCAUCUGUCAUACAAAUCCUGGCAGGAUAACAUUUUGUGUCUAUGUAUCUGUGUUUUAAUAACUGAUACUUUUAUCCCUUUACUGUGACUGUGUACAGAUUUAACCCAACCACAAGGCAUUUUUGUAGAAAACUUGGUUUUCUUUAUAUUCUCUAUAACGAAUGUUAAGAAUAUUAAUAUUCGCUUUUAUAUUUUCACAAAACAAUUUAGACUUAAAAUAUGUGUAGAUAAUAUAUACCUCUCUGUACCUCCCCCAACUUAAGAAAUCAAGCAUUAUACAUACAGUUGAAGACCUCAUGUGCCC
rnacentral:lncRNA from 1 species